GACUCUCUAGUAAUCAGAAGUCCCGCUGGUAGAAGUCGACAUUUCUGCUUUCUAUACUACUUAUUUUACUACUAGCACGAAUUCUGAUUAGCUGCUGCUUUUCCGUUUUCUGCUUUUCCAUUAAGGUUAUAUCUAUUCUCUGUUCGACAGUAACAUUUGCGUGAAAGAAAAGAAUCGUGGAAUCUUUCCGACAUAAGAGACAUAAGACACAAGAACAUAAAAUAUCUCGUAAACUAUAAUACUGUGAUUUGUUAUAAUUCUGAAUACAGCCAAUGUAAAGAAA